GCGCCGCCGCCGCCGCCGGGCAGCCCCGCGCUCGCCCUGCCUCCGAGCCUGGCGUCAGGAGCUCGGAGCCGCCCAGCUCGGACGGACAGACGGAUGGACGGACAGACCGGCAAAAGGGAUCCUCUCCCAGAGACCGCCCCCCGGGCUGGGCCGGGCCGGGAGCAGGGCGAGCAGCGGCAGGCUGGCAAGUGGCCCGAGUCACUGGCAGCGCGCUGCUCGCCCCUGGCUCUCGCAGGGGAUUCACCCCCUGAGCCCCCCUGAGUGCUGAAGGUGAAGGUGCGUGAGGCUGCUGGGGUAGGGGAACGAGGUCUCACCCCUGCGGGCCUCUGACAUGGAGCCAGACUCUGAAUCUGCACGCAUCUGCUCCGAGGUGGGUCCAGCUGAAUGUGUGGAGCCCGCUUCGGGGAAGGAGAUGCGAAGCAUGAAGUGGAAGACUUUUCUACAUGAGAAAAGAUCACGCGUGAUGCAUCUGUACUGGCAUAAUCACACCUAUACCUACACCAGUACGCUUUCACCUGCAUAGGAAGCCCUAUGUAUGGCAUUAACCUCAUUUUAAAGCACAGCGAGACUGAGGCCCUGCAGAUUACGGGAACAAGAGCAGCCCUGGCUUGGCACAUCCAUCCUCCCAGGUGUGCGAGGAGUCUGAAGAAACAGAACUGAAAUGGCUUGCCCAAGGUCAGGAGGAGCACAAUGUAGCACAGAUACUAUCAGUGUAAUGAAGACAUUUCCAAGCAAUGCACAGAAGAAACAAGAGGCUGUUACUGUUUUUGUACCCAAAUUAGGGCCAGGUGUCUGGGUGCAGCAGUAGUGACAAGCCCCAAGAGCAGCACCUCAGCGCUCCAGUUUCACACAGAGAAAUACGUGGAGAAGGCCUGGGAUGGGCAGCAGGCUCCGAGCAUCUAUUCAGUGCACGGUUCACACUAAGCAGAUAUGACAAGACGAUAAUUAGGGGAGCACUGCAGUUUGUCAGGUGUCUUGUUAGAACCACAUUUUUACCUCUUUUGUUGUUGUUAGGGUUGACUGGUUGGUUCGCUUCGGUAUGAGAGAAUUAAAUUAUUUUCUACUUAGACUGAGGCUUGGGGAGGAUCGCAUUAAUAUGCUCCUUUACCUAUAAAGGGCAACAAAAUAGCCUGGUGUGGCCUUUUGCUGAUGUUUAAUAACCUGAACGGCUGUUCUGGACAGGGUUGGUCAGAGGUUUGGUCAGAGCUGGCUUGAUCAGUUGUGAGGGAAGACCUGAGAACAAGCAGAAACAGCGUGCCGCUCCUGGCAGGGCUGCCUUUGUACACAACCAAGUCAAAACUGCAAGUCUGCUGCCUGCUUUAAGACGUGCAACUCACAGGUGACUGUCCAAACCCCUUACUCCGUGUGAGUAGUAUCAACAAGUGUCUUUCUUACCUGGGGAUUCUGCACAUUCAGUGCCUCCAUCUCCAUUAGCUACUUGUAAUACACCCUAAUUAAACUCCACUAGAAUCUAACUAGCCUUUCUGAAUAACAUGAGGAAAAUGGAAAGCAGAGAGCGCAAGGGCACGUAUAUCCAGGAAUAUGGCUUGUUGCUACUCCUACAACAGAGAUCCUCCUCUGCAUUGGGCCGGAUAAUUGUGCUACCUGAAGAUGUUACAGAGGACAUUAUUUCUUUUUUCAUAUCCUACUGUGCAAUGACAUUAGUGUUCAGUCUGCUGCAAGAAAACACAACGUGGGGCUAGGAGCAACAAAGAAGGAGAUGAGCAGGUUUUUUUGGAAACAGUCUGACUUUUCAUCAGAUCAAGUGUAAAAUCAAAUGAAACCAUCAGUUAUAAGGCUCAUAAGCCUGAACUUUAGUGGAAUUGGUGCACUUAUGCAGAUAAACUUCUAAUAAGAUUUUCAAAGGCAACAUUAAUCUCUUAGACACUUUUAAAAAUCUCACUAAGCACCUGCCUAAUCACCUUUAAAAUCUGCCUCUCAAAAACAGCUUGUUAGAAGGCACAGUGCUAAGACACUCAUUAUAUCGCAUAUUUUUAUUCUAUUACAUCACAAAACAAAUAUCUAAGAAAUGCUGUGAUGACAACUGCUACCUCUACUAUUAGCUUUCAAUCAUCCCCUAAAAUCAGAGUUUAUAUGCAGAUUAUGAUUUAGUAUUUCUUGUUAACCUCAGCCAGGCAGCAUAUGUUUCAUCUGGCUUAUUCACAGGGGUUCCAGGACUAGCCAGUGCCUUCUGGAGACAGUUUAGCACCAAACACAGUAACUUUGCUUCACCUUUAUGUUCACCAGGUUUGUGCCAGAAACUAGAGCUUCGUGGCUAAUUAAAUUGUAUCAAACACAUAACUUAUUAUUUACAUUAAAAUCACUAGAGUCAUUUUCAUUUUAGCCAUUAUAGUGUUGCCCUAGCGUGGGAAAAUAUGAGCAGUAUUUUCUGAGAGGAGAGGAGCUCUGUCAGGAAGAAUAAUGGCUUUCUAAGGAUACUUGAUUUCAUAAUUUCCUUCUUUCCUGGGCUGGCUGGUAAAAACAGUACUUAUCAGCCUCUAUCCUCCACGGCUUGUCUUCUUCUUUAAAUAGGUGAGGUAUUAAAGAAGCCUCCCACCCCACAUUAUUAAAAGUGGAUAUGCAGACUGUUCAGCAGUUACACAAAUCUGUUUGGGAAAGAUGCCUCAGGCAGAAGACAGCAUGUGGGAGAAGGUAAGAAGUAUUUUUAAGAGGUUAUCAUAACUGCAAAGAGCUCAGUACAGUUUUCCAAACCCCUUUGGGUUCAAGGCACUGGCUAGCCCUGGUAGCACAGAGUUGGCUGCUGAUUUCCACUGCCAGGAAAGGUGCUUGGGUCUGUGCUGGGCGAAGGUAUUUCAGCCCUGCACAGAAGCAGGAGUGCUAUGGUGCACAUGGGGUGGAUGAACUGUGGCCUCAAAGGCCAUCUGAAUGGGGCAUCAGAAUGACAGCAGCCGCUGAGCUGUUCACCUGACGCCCUGUCCCCAUUAAAGAGGACACAGUAGCCCUCCUCUCCCCCCUUUUCCCCACAGAGUGCUCUGCUGGCACCUGCAGGCAGCUGGGGCAGGGGGAGAGAAGGAGCGCAGUGCCUCAGCAGCUGUUCUGUGUCAGAGGUUGAUCUGACCGCAUCCUCGAGCAUCAAGAUUCAACAUCGCUUACCCUGAAGAGAAGCUUUGAGCUGGCACUGUGUAGGUUGCACACAAACCUAGAGGAAGUAGACUAUAAAGGCCUUGCAGAUAGAUGUUGUGAGGGUUUUCUGUAUAUGCCUUCUUCAGUAUGUCCAGCCAUCUACUAAAAUGAACCCUUCAUGAGUUUGUCCCUGUAGAGUCAAAAGUCUGUUUGGGACCUACCUUUGCUUCCUUACUCACUCACACAUGCAAAAAAAAACAAAGAACCCACUUCACUCUAACUUAGAAGUUCUCCUAAACUGGCCUACCAUGAUUAAAUGGCAUUUAUAGAGAAUAAAUGUGGAGCUGAUAAUUUCCAAAAUUAUUAUAUGUAUUUUUCUCUGUUGCAUUAAAUAAAGCUUCUGCUGUAAAUCCGUCUAAAAA